UUUUAACUGAUAGUGCCUAUCAUAAUUAUAUUUAAUAGUUUUGUUGUAAUAUAGGCUAUAUUAAAUUUACCUGACAAAGGUUAGAUGACCAAAAGUUACUUAUAGAUUUUAUUUAUUUAUUUAUUUAUUUUCAUGAAUGCAAAAUCCAGAAUAACUGUACUUUAAUUUUAAUACUAUUUUUUUUUAAUGAUGUAUAUCAAACUAAAAGGUCAAGGAUUGAAAGCUUGAUUUGAUUUUAUUUAUUUUUGUUUAUUUAUUUUUUUAUUUAUAUUUUAUUUUAUAGUGCUUAUUUUAUAGUGUUUAUAUUAAACAAAGGGGUCAAGGAUUUUAUUUUUUAUUAUUUUUUAUUUUAUUCGAAGCUUGAAAUUAGCUCAAUUUAACAUUUAUCCCUACCUUUCAGCACCCAUGAGCAAAGAUGGUGGAUUUCAAGUGCUGUACUUCCAGAGGUCUUACGCCAACCAAACAACUGCAGUUAAAAGGAAUGCUAAUGGAUAGAUUUUUCAGAUACCCUUUCUUCAUUGACAGAGCUGUCAUUGUGAGUUCAGAGCGAAAUGUUCCAUAUCUGGCCUUUUUUUUCUUGUUCCUCAGAGGUUCUUUCAUCUCUACAGGGUUACACAAGCAUACAGUAUUCAAUGAGUCUAUGAUGGUGAAAUAAACAAGCAUUUUAUAGAGCUUUACAUUACAUUACAUUUACAUUUAAUCAUUUAGCAGACGCUUUUAUCCAAAGCGACUUACAAAUGAGAACAGUAGAAACAAUCAGAUCAACGAGAGAACAACAACGGUAUACAAGUGCUAUGACAAGUCUCAGUUAGUCUAGUACAGAACACGUAGCCAGGGUUUUUGAAUAUGAUAGACAAGAAAAAGAAAAGGUAAGUACUAGUAUUAGUUGGUUAAGUGCAGGCAAAAAAGAUGAGUCUUUAGAUGUUUUUUAAAAAUGAGUAAAGACUCAGCUGUUCGAAUUGAGAUCAGGAGGUCAUUCCACCAGCUGGGCGCAGUCCAGGAAAAAGUCCGUGAGAGUGAUUUUGAACCUCUUUGGGAUGGCACCACAAGACGUCGUUCACUUGCAGAGCGCAAACUUCUGGAGGGCGCAUAAGACUGAACUAGUGAGUUUAGGUAUGUUGGCGCCGUGCCAGUGGUCGUCUUGUAGGCAAGCAUCAGUACCUUGAAUUUGAUGCGAGCGGCUACUGGUAGCCAGUGUAACCUGAUGAGGAGAGGAGUCACAUGAGCUGUUUUUGGCUCAUUGAAGACAACCCUCGCUGCUGCAUUCUGGAUCAGUUGUAGAGGCUUGAUAGUACAUGCAGGAAGGCCCGCCAGAAGAGCAUUACAAUAGUCCAGUCUGGAGAGAACAAGAGCUUGGACAAGAAGUUGGGUGGCUUGCUCUGACAGGAAGGGUCUAAUCUUCCUAAUGUUGUAUAAGGCAAAUCUGCAGGACCGGGUCGUUGUAGCAAUAUGGUCUGUGAAGCUUAACUGAUGAUCCAUCACAACUCCUAGGUUUCUGGCUGUCCUGGAGGGAGUUAUGGUUGACGAACCCAGCUGUAUAGAGAAGUUGUGAUGAAACGAUGGGUUAGCUGGAACCACCAGCAGUUCAGUCUUAGUAAGGUUGAGCUGAAGGUGAUGGUCAUUCAUCCAGCUAGAAAUGUCACUCAGACAGGCUGAAAUGCGAGCAACUACCGUCGGGUCAUCUGGUUGGAAUGAGAAGUAGAGUUGAGUGUCAUCAGCAUAGCAGUGAUAGGAAAAGCCAUGCUUCUGAAUGACAGAUCCUAAUGACGUCAUGUAGAUGGAGAAGAGAAGCGGUCCAAGUACUGAGCCUUGAGGAACCCCAGUAGCAAGUUGUUGUGACUUAGAAACUUCACCCCUCCAAGACACCAUGAAGGAUCUAUCAGAAAGGUAGGAGUUAAGCCACUGGAGAGCGGUUCCAGAGAUGCCCAUCUUUCUGAGGGUGGACAGGAGAAUCUGGUGAUUAACAGUGUCAAAAG
ensembl:lncRNA